rnacentral:tmRNA from 1 species
GGGGGCGAUCUGGCUUCGACGGGUGGUCGAAGGGAGACGCUGCGUGCCGAGAUGGUCGAGCUCUCGUUAAUCAGACGGCACUGUUGGUAACUUUAUAAUUGCCGACGAUAACUAUGCACUCGCUGCCUAGCUGAAACUAGGUUAGUGACUUCCGUCCG